rnacentral:rRNA from 1 species
UACGGGGGGUCCAAGCGUUGUUCGGAAUCACUGGGCGUAAAGCGCAUGUAGGUGGCUUUUCAAGUCAACUGUGAAAGCCCAGGGCCUAACCCUGGAAGUGCAGUUGAUACUGUUGAGCUUGAGUACGAGAGAGGAUAGUGGAAUUCCCGGUGUAGUGGUGGAAUGCGUAGAUAUCGGGAGGAACACCAGUGGCGAAGGCGGUUGCCUGGAGCUUUGCUGACGCUGAGGCGCGAAAGCGUGGGGAGCGAUCCGG